rnacentral:rRNA from 1 species
GAUGAACGCUAGCUACAGGCUUAACACAUGCAAGUCGAGGGGCAGCAUGGAAGAAGCUUGCUUCUUCUGAUGGCGACCGGCGCACGGGUGCGUAACGCGUAUCAAACCUGCCUCAUACUCGGGGAUAGCCUUGCGAAAGUAAGAUUAAUACCCGAUGUUGUUAUGUUACCGCAUGGUGAUAUAACCAAAGAUUUAUCGGUAUGAGAUGGUGAUGCGUCCGAUUAGGUAGUAGGCGGGGUAACGGCCCACCUAGCCUUCGAUCGGUAGGGGUUCUGAGAGGAAGGUCCCCCACACUGGAACUGAGACACGGUCCAGACUCCUACGGGAGGCAGCAGUGAGGAAUAUUGGUCAAUGGACGAAAGUCUGAACCAGCCAAGUAGCGUGCAGGAUGACGGCCCUCUGGGUUGUAAACUGCUUUUAGUUGGGAAUAAAAAAGAGGACGUGUCCUCUAUUGUAUGUACCUUCAGAAAAAGGACCGGCUAAUUCCGUGCCAGCAGCCGCGGUAAUACGGAAGGUCCAGGCGUUAUCCGGAUUUAUUGGGUUUAAAGGGAGCGUAGGCGGAUUAUUAAGUCAGUGGUGAAAGACGGUGGCUCAACCAUCGUUAGCCAUUGAAACUGGUAGUCUUGAGUGCAGACAGGGAUGCUGGAACUCGUGGUGUAGCGGUGAAAUGCUUAGAUAUCACGAUGAACUCCGAUCGCGAAGGCAGGUGUCCGGGCUGCAACUGACGCUGAGGCUCGAAAGUGUGGGUAUCAAACAGG